rnacentral:snRNA from 1 species
GUACUUGCUUCAACAUCACAUAUACUAAAAUUGGAACAAUACAGAGAAGAUUAGCAUGGACCCUGUGUAGGAAAAAAACUUGACAGCAAACAGCUAACCUACUCUU